rnacentral:rRNA from 1 species
ACCUGGUCUGACAUCCAUAGAAUCUUUCAGAGAUGAGAGAGUGCCUUCGGGAGCUAUGAGACAGGUGCUGCAUGGCUGUCGUCAGCCCGUGUUGUGAAAUGUGGGGUUAAGUCCCGCAACGAGCGCAACCCCUAUCCUUUGUUGCCAGCACGUAAUGGUGGGAACUCAAAGGAGACUGCCGUUGAUAAAGCGGAGGAAGGUGGGGACGACGUCAAGUCAUCAUGGCCCUUACGACCAGGGCUACACACGUGCUACAAUGGCGUAUACAAAGGGAUGCGAAGGUGCGAACUGGAGCGGACCUCACAAAGUACGUCUAAGUCCGGAUUGGAGUCUGCAACUCGACUCCAUGAAGUCGGAAUCGCUAGUAAUCGUGAAUCAGAAUGUCACGGUGAAUACGUUCCCGGGCCUUGUACACACCGCCCGUCACACCAUGGGAGUGGGUUGCACCAGAAGUAGAUAGCUUAACCUUCGGGAGGGCGUUUACCACGGUGUGGUUCAUGACUGGGGUGAAGUCGUAACAAGGUAACCA